rnacentral:lncRNA from 1 species
AUCCCUAGUAAUGGGGAUUGCUGGGUCAGAUGGUAGUUCUUCUUUUAGCUCUUUGAGGAAUCACCAUACUGCUUUCCACAAUGGUUGAACUAAUUUACACCCCACCAACAGUAUGUAAGUGUUCCCUUUUCUCUGCAACCUUGCCAGCAUCUGUUAUUUUUUUACUUUUUUAGUAAUAAUCAUUCUAAUUAUAUAUUAGACAUAAAAACCCUGUGUAACAUAUAUUUUUCUGAUUCUACUUGCUGAAUCAUUGUACUAGAAGCAUACAUGUGUCCAGGAUUUGCCAUUCUCUGUUUUUUAGGUAUAGAUCACUAAUGAUGCAGCAAAUAUUUGGGAGAUUAAAGACGAAUCACAAAAGCAGUAAGGAAUCAAUUUCCAACAACUUCUCAGAAGGCUUCUUUGUAGUAUCAUUUGCCAGAGGGAUGAAAAUAGCUGACUAGGUAAGCAGAAUGUAUAACCCAUGAUUGGCUUAAAUAAACCACUUAUGGUAGAAUGGAUAAUAUAAAAUAAAUGAUUUAUGUUCUAGGAUUUACAUAUUCAGCAAAAGCAGUUUAACAAUGGAUAUGCAUAUGAGAAUAAAUAGAGAAUAUUACUGAAAUAUAACGUUAGCAUUUAGAAUCUAUAACAUAUCUGUGUUCCAAUGAUUCUCAACUAAGAUUAGAGCUACUCUACUAAGGGGCAUUUGGUUAUAAGAGGAGAAGGCAGGAUAUGCUUGUAAUUGUCAUAGUAUCUUAAGGGUGAAACUGGCAUACAGUGGCCACAAGCCAAGCAUUCUAUAAUUCAUGGAUUAGUCUCUAAAAAUACGACAUAUUGAAAAAUGUUGAUUAGAUCAUAUUUAUGUAAAAUAAUACUACAAAUACCAAUAUCAAUAUAAAAAUAAAUGCAUAAAGAUAAGGUACAUAUGUAGACUUGUACAUAGUCAUUUCACAUUAAAUAUUACUUUAAACAUACUGUAACAAACAUUCAUUUUAUUAUUCAUUUUGGCAACUUUAACAUCUAUAAGAGCCC